rnacentral:rRNA from 1 species
AUUAGUGGCGGACGGGUGAGUAACGCGUGGAUAACCUGCCGUAUACAGGGGGAUAACACUUAGAAAUAGGUGCUAAUACCGCAUAAGCGCACGGUUCCGCAUGAACAGUGUGAAAAACUCCGGUGGUAUACGAUGGAUCCGCGUCUGAUUAGCCAGUUGGCGGGGUAACGGCCCACCAAAGCGACGAUCAGUAGCCGGCCUGAGAGGGUGAACGGCCACAUUGGGACUGAGACACGGCCCAAACUCCUACGGAAGGCAGCAG